AGAUAGAGUAGUGCAGGAUCAGGGUCCAGAUCAGACCCAGGAUCAGCUUCAGGUUCCCGUCCACGAUGGCUUUAGAGUCUGGAGGACAGAAGGAGGGACGAAGGGACAGGUUUCAUCCAUCGACAGCAGCGAGCAGAGCUGCUGCAGGAUGAUGUCAUUCAACCCCGAGUCCGAGGAAUGAGCAGCUGUCGGUGGAGCGAGAGCAGAGCUCAGCUGUCCUGCAUCAAUCAGCUCCUACACCAACAACACCACCAACCAACGAGACCCUCCCCACCCCCCACAUCCCCCACCGCAGGCCUCUCAGACCCCCAACACUCCUCCACAGGAGUCCUGCUGUCUUUUGGGUUUGACUGAGUUCAGCGUUUGUUCGUUCAUGUGAUCGUUUAAAGACGUUUUUGAUUUCACACAUGAUCUGUUUUCCCUUCACAACAGUCCUCACUGUUUCUAGAAAUGAUUUCAUUUUAUUUCAGUUUUUAAGUCAAAAGAAAUAUUCAGCGUUAUUUUUAUAAUUGCAUCGAUUAAUCUAUUGGUUUUAUGCUUAAUCUUUUAACACCCACUGAAUUAAAAACAAUCAGAUGUUUUGACUGUGAUAAAAGUUUGUGACACUGUUGGACCAACAGAUUUUUAAAGUUGUAAUGUUGUAAACUCCUGGAUUAGUUAAACGUCACAAUGUUUAUCUUUCAAUACACAUGUUCAUAUUCACGUAUGUAACUUUCCAUAUUAGGUGGAAACGGCAUGAAGACUAAACCUGUUAUUAUUAUUGGCUGUUACAGACCUCAAAAACAAACAAGACUUUUAGAUUUAUAAUGAAAUCUGCAAUAACAUCGUUACUUUACCUUUCAUAUUAUCCUUUGUAUUUUUAAUGUGAGAGUUAUUAUUUUUAUUUCUUAAAUUGUGAUGAUGUGUUUUUGGAUUUCAGGAUUGUUUCUUUGUCGUUUAACAUCUUGUGACCAUGUUGGAAACAAUCUUUUUAACUUUAACAUGUGAUCUCUCAGGUCUUUGUUUUUGUGUCUGUAAACCAUAAAUAAAUCAAAUCAUAUCACACCUGCAGUCUGGCUGCUGCGGGAGGAGCAGUGAGCCGUAA